AUGAAUACGGAAGCAGGCCGUGCUGUCGCCUCAUUAAUACUGCACUCGCGCGGGGAGCCCGGCCGGCCCGGCUGCGUCGUACCGCCGCCGCCCACCGCGUCCCGGCGCGGCGCUGGAGCAGAACGCGGCGCUGCGGCGGUCGUCCUCUGGGCCCGGCGCCGGCAGCUGGCGCCUCGCAGGAACAAAGCUGCCGCACUCUGUCGGCCUAAUGCCUCUCUGUGUUGUCACUUAAGGUCUUUAUUGGUAUUAAUUGAUACGAUCGGAGCAACUUCGCCUCCCAAAACAUCCCCCCCCCCCCCACCUCCACUCUCACCCAGCCUCCCAACAGGUGGGCGGCUGAAGGCAGCCAGGCUCCGCCCCCUCCUGCAGGGCCUCCGUACUUCAACCCUCCUGAGACCAGAACUGAACCACAGAAACUCACUGCGGCUCGAGACCGAAGCUUCUUCCUGGUUUUUAUAGUGCGAGCUCACCGAUUGGUCCGUUCUCUCUCCAGGUGCUCUCCAUCAACCAAUCACAGCCAGCAGGUGUGGAGGUCACAUUUAUUCCACAUUAAAGCUUCCAAAAGUUAAAUCUCCGACUUUAAUUAACACCACAGUUAAACGUGUCAGAUGUCGUUUUUAUUUCCUAAUAAAGUGUUUUAAUUUACAGUGAAUUGAUUAAUUUAAAGUUGUCAUUAUAUAGAUUAAUAAAUGUUAAUUUCACUGUCACACAGACACACGUCAGAAAGUUUUAAUUAACAAAGAAAUAAACUUUCUCUUUUAAAAAUUAAAGAGAAAUGAGAGUUGAUUUAAUAAAAUGUAAAAAUAAUCACAGGAUGUCAGUUCAAACAUUUCCGUGUAUGUAACAGCAGGAAGUGAUCUGCCUCGCCGUCACAUGACUGCACAGAGAUCAGUGAGUGACACUCGUUCAGCUCGGAGGCGACAGCACGUGGGGACAAACUGUCCUGAGAUCAGAUUACAUAAAUUAUACAAACCUGUGAUGAGCUGCUGUAAUCCCUGAGGAAGCUCAUAUUCAUCUUUCCAACAUCAGAGAGACACUUUGAACAUAAUGUGUCUUUAAAUAUACAACGAAUACUCAACCUUUAUUGUCUGUAUUCCCACUGCCUGUCUGUCUGUCUGUCUGUGUGUCUGUCUGUGAGUGAGUGAGUGUGUCUGUCUGCCUGUGUGUGUGUGUGUGUGUGUGUGUGUGUGUGUGUGUGUGUGUGUGUGUGUGUGUGUGUCUGCCUGUCUGUCUGUCUGCCUGUGUGUGUGUCUGUCUGUCUGUGUCUCUGUCUGCCUGCCUGCCUGUCUGUCUGUCUGUCUGUCUGUCUAGCUGUCUGUCUGUCUGUCUCUCUGUCUGUCUGUCUGUCUCUCUGCCUGUCUGUCUCUCUGUCUGUCUGUCUGUCUCUCUGCCUGUCUGUCUCUCUGUCUGUCUGUCUGUCUAGCUGGGGAAGCUAAUGUUGCUAAUCAGAGUUCAGUGUUAAUCAAUGGAGCUUUAUUUGUAUUGGUGCAGUUUGGAUCAGGUCAGAGUUCAAUAGGUUCAACAGAAGGUCAGAGUUCAAUAGGUUCAACAGAAGGUCAGAGUUCAAUAGGUUCAACAGAAGGUCAGAGUUCAAUAGGUUCAACAGAAGGUCAGAGUUCAAUAGGUUAAACAGCUAACAGCACAAUCAGAGAGUAUGCUCCACUAGCUUAGCAUUAACGUAAGCUUUGACUUUCUGUGUUGUGAUUAGUAGCCGUUAGCGGACGCUAACUUGUGUUUUCUGUUGAUUGUAGGUUUUAAGCUGGCGCUGUAUGGUAACGGUUGCGUCUGUAUGGUAACGGUUGUGUCUGUAUGGUAACGGUUGCGUCUGUACGGUAACAGUUGCGUCUGGAAACGGUUGCGUCUGUACGGUAACAGUUGCGUCUGUAUGGUAACGGUUGCGUCUGUAUGGUAACGGUUGCGUCUGUAUGGUAACGGUUGCGUCUGUACGGUAACAGUUGCGUCUGGAAACGGUUGCGUCUGUACGGUAACAGUUGCGUCUGUAUGGUAACGGUUGCGUCUGUAUGGUAACGGUUGCGUCUGUAUGGUAACGGUUGCGUCUGUAUGGUAACGGUUGCGUCUGUAUGGUAACGGUUGCGUCUGUACGGUAACAGUUGCGUCUGGAAACGGUUGCGUCUGUACGGUAACAGUUGCGUCUGUAUGGUAACGGUUGCGUCUGUAUGGUAACGGUUGCGUCUGUAUGGUAACAGUUGCGUCUGGUAACAGUUGCGUCUGUACGGUAACGGUUGCGUCUGUAUGGUAACAGUUGCGUCUGGUAACAGUUGCGUCUGUACGGUAACGGUUGCGUCUGUAUGGUAACAGUUGCGUCUGUACGGUAACAGUUGCGUCUGGUAACAGUUGCGUCUGUAUGGUAACAGUUGCGUCUGUACGGUAACAGUUGCGUCUGGUAACAGUUGCGUCUGUAUGGUAACAGUUGCGUCUGGUAACGGUUGCGUCUGUAUGGUAACGGUUGCGCCUGUAUGGUAACGGUUGCGUCUGUAUGGUAACGGUUGCGUCUGUAUGGUAACAGUUGCGUCUGGUAACGGUUGCGUCUGUAUGGUAACAGUUGCGUCUGGUAACGGUUGCGUCUGUAUGGUAACAGUUGCGUCUGUACGGUAACGGUUGCGUCUGUAUUCAAUUCAAUUAAAUUCAAUUCAAUUUUAUUUGUAUAGCGCCAAUUCAUAACAGAAGUUAUCUCAGGACACUUUUCAAAUAGAGCAGGUCUAGACCGAACUCUUUAACAUUAUUUACAGAGACCCAACAGUACCACCAUGAGCAAGCACUUGGAGACAAGGGCAAGGAAAACACUGCCUGUUAAAAGGCAGAAACCUAGGACAGAUCCUCCGGCUCUAGGUGGGUGGUCGUCUGUCUCGACCAGUUGGUAACGGUUGCGUCUGUACGGUAACGGUUGCGUCUGUAUGGUAACGGUUGCGUCUCUAUGGUAACGGUUGCGUCGGUGGUUUAUUUGAAUGCCGCUCAGUGUUUUAAAGUGUUUGUUGUACUUUCUGUCUCUGUAUUAAUAUUCAGGGGG
rnacentral:lncRNA from 15 species